AAAUAUAUGAUACAUGCACCAUUAGUCUGUCACCCAAUUACUGGAUUGGAAAGUAUCCGCUCAGUGACUUUCGGUUGUUGGACUGUAAUAAUUCACAGCUUGUGACUGCAUCAGACGCACACUAAAUGUAGGAGGUUUGAAUCUUGUUGGGACUUUUUGUGUAUACUGUUGCAUUGAUGCCGGUAAUUCAAUAUUCCUUCUACCUUUUUUGGUCUACACUUGGUGUAAUAUUGGUCGAUGUGUCUGGCUUUGCUUCUCAGGUACAUGAGUCAUCAAUUAGUCAAAAGAAGGGGAUAAAGGCAUUGUCCUUUAUAUUUUUGGACACCGGCAUUAUCUCCUAAGCUUUGUUUACUGGAGAGGAAAGAUGCUGGUUUUAACCUUGUAACUAUUUACUGUCAAAAAAUAUAUGAUUACUUGCAUAAUUACCUCAUAAUUCUAUCAUACUGACACAUAAUCCUUGUUGGUAUUCAACUUGACUUUUUGGUUUACUUGGCGUUGUUCUCAUAUCUUUUUUUUCUAUAUUUCUUCCAACAUUCAGAAGUUCAUAGGUUUUUGUUCUGGUUUGGGGCAGACCACUGUUCCUGAUAUCUUGGUACUACUUGACAUCAGCAUUUUUUAAGAGUUGCUCUGUUCCUUGGGAACCUGCUGUCUAAGUGGUCUUCAAGGUGGUGGUGAAGCAAUAUCUUUACAUUGUCUUCUGGGUGAUGGAAUGUGAUCUUCAUUCUUAUACGAAUCCAUUUUCUUAGUGCUGCUUCAUCUGCCGAUAGAAAUCCUCAUGGUCAAAGAUAUGUAUACGUCUUUUCUCCACUUUCUGAGGUAAGCUAGAAAUAGAUUGAAAAUUUGAAAUUAUGUCAACUAUUAAUUCACAUAAAAAAAUGUCAACACUUGCCUUGGUAACUCUAAGAUUUGUUUUAAGGUGCAAUAACCUUUGAUCGUUCAGUUGGGAGGCAGCAGAAUCAAAGUUGGCUGCAUGUUUUUUGUAUCUCUAUGCUGACUGCUCUUAUUUGCAAUUCCUCUUCAUUUCUUCUUUCUUCAAGAUAUAGAAUCUGGUUCANACCGUCAGAAAUAUAUGAUACAUGCACCAUUGGUCUGUCACCCAAUUACUGGAUUGGAAAGUAUCCGCUCAGUGACGUUCGGCUGCUGGACUGUAAUAAUUCACAGCUUGGGACUGCAUCAGACGCACACUAAAUGUAGGAGGUUUGAAUCUUGUUGGGACUUUUCGUGUAUGCUGUUGCAUUGAUGCCGGUAAUUCAAUUUUCCUUCUACCUUUUUUGGUCUAUCAUUGGUAUAAUAUUGGUCAAUGUGUCUGGCUUUGCUUCUCAGGUACACGAGUCAUCAAUUAGUCAAAAGAAGGGGAUAAAGGCAAAGGCAUGGUCCUUUAUAUUUUUGGACAAAGCUUUGUUUACUGGAGAGGAAAGAUGCUGUGUUUAACCUUGUAACUAUUUACUGUCAAAAAUAUAUGAUUACUUGCAUAAUUACCUCAUAAUUCUAUCAUACUGACACAUAAACCUUGUUGAUGUUCAACUUGACUUUUUGGUCUACUUGGCAUUGUUCUCAUAUCUUCUUUUUUUUCUAUAUUUCUUCCAACCUUCAGAAGUUCAUAUGUUUUUGUUCUGGUUUGGGGCAGACCACUGUUCCUGAUGUCUUGGUACUACUUGACAUCAGCCUUUUUUAAGAGUUGCUCUGUUCCUUGGGAACCUGCUGUCUAAGUGGUCUUCAAGGUGGUGGUGAAGCAAUAUCUUUACAUUGUUUUCUGGGUGAAACUGAUUUUUUCCCAGUUGCAUGGAAUGUGAUCUUCAUUCUUAUACGAAUCCAUUUUCUUAGUGCUGGUUCAUCUGCCGAUAGAAAUCCUCGUGGUCAAAGAUAUACGUCUUCUCUCCACUUUCCAAGGUAAGCUAGAAAUAGAUUGAAAUUAUGUCAACUGUUAAUUCACAUAAAAAAUGUCAACACUUGCCUUUGUAACUCUAAGAUUUGUUUUAAGGUGCGAUAACCUUUGAUUGUUCAGUUGGGAGCCAGCAGGAUCAAAGUUGGCUGCAUGUUCUUUGUAUCUAUGCUGACUGCUCUUAUUUGCAAUUCCUCUUCAUUUCUCCUUUCUUCAAGAUAUAGAAUAUAGUUCACUUGGUAUAAAUGAUAUGAUUCUGAAACAUGGUAAUGGAGAUUGCUUUAUCCUCUGAUGAUAUUUGUAAGUCGAUAUUCCAUCCUGGCCAUUUCGUAUAUGGUUCAAUUCAGUUCUCCCCGUGUCAACAGUUCUGUUUGGUUGAUUCCUUCUUUAAAUACAUUAUAUAUAUUCUGAGGGUUACAGAGGAUGUUCCUGUUGCUAGAUUUGAAGAACCUGUAGCAGAUAUCUAUAUGAUUAAUCAGCUUCAUUUGCUGUUGACAGCAAAAACAGUUUCAUUGCAGAAUCUCUCUUUCCAAAGACAGCAAAACUUAUUUGAUUCAUUUGCCAAUGAUCUUUCUUGACACAAUUAAGGGUGUAAUUAGUGUGUUUCGUGCAGUCUUUUAUUUAGUUGGCUCUCAUUUCAGCAGUUGAUUUCCAUUUGAGGACAAGUUUCAGAGUUUAUGGAUGUUCAGAUCCUCUGCUUUGUAGUAUUUGCUUUGGGAGCAACCCCACCCACGUCGAAUUCCUAAUAAGAAGUUUUGUCAUGACAAAUUUACAUUGGACACAGUGGGAGGCUUGCAAAGCAUUUAUUUUUUGGACAACAAAUGCAUACGAGUGAAAUCUUAAUAUCAGGUAGUGACCUCAUUUCCUUAGCAAUCUUCUCAAACCUAGUUAUGACUAUGAAGUGGCUUAAACUACCAUUGGGGUUUUGUUUCUCUAUCUAGAUUAUGAAAUACCACAGCUCUUAUCACUAGAUGGAUUUCAAGAAAGUCAACAAAGGUGGAGAAUUCAGUGAAAAAAGGCUGUCUUUAGGAAUAUAUGUUACAAGGUCCGAAAGGUUUGUGUCGGGAACCCACCCAAUUCAUAGAAAUAGAAGGAUGGCAGCCAUUAACUCCUCAUUCCUUGACACGAAGACCGAGGUAGGGGGAAAAAAUCAACUGGUGGUCAAAUAGAGUGAAAUUGGGUAUUUUCCCAGUAAUUAAUUCCGUAACUGCAUUCUCAACAUAGAAGAAAAUAAUUCUUGGCUUGCUUAUGAAGAAAUUGGCAUUAACAAGACAACUUGUUGUCCCAAAAAAACAAGCAAAAGCUACCAAGAUGCAGGACAGAACUAUGUAUUUGAUGUUAUGAGAUAACAAUGACUUUUGUUUCCACUUUAUAUCUUCUUAGAGACAAAAUGCUUUGUUAAUCCAUGCAUAAGAAUAUAUCUGCACAAUAAUUUAUUUGGACAUACAGUAGCCGUAGCAGGAAAUUUUGUCCACAAAAUCCAGUGCAACUGCCCCCACUUGGCCUCAAGGGCAGCUCUGCCUCAGGUUGAGAAACAGGCUCUGGAGAUGUGUAAGAAAAGUGAUAUCUGUUACUUCCACACUUGAAGAUGCUUCAUAACUUUCCAGUAACUUCAGUUUGGUGGCUGUCCAAACAUGCUUACAUGUGUAUGUUAAAUAUUGCUUGUGGAAAAGCUUUACAAUUUAGAGUACUGCUGUCACCAAGGUGUUUAUGUUUGCAGCUAAUGUGGACUCUUUUGCAGCCUACUGAUAACUGAUAAAUUUUCUGUUAGCUAUGAAUUAUUCAUGCCAACAUUGUGAGAUAUGGUGGCACCUGGAGUCCCAAUCUAAGCUGUUUUGAUUCAUAUCUAGUGGCUGCAUCAGAUGAUACUGACUGUAGGAGGCUUGAAUCUUAUCGGUGCUAGUGGUAUUUAUUGCAUUAACCCUACUGAAAUAAUAUUUUCUUGUGUUGUAUCUGAGUACACACAGCAUGGUUAGUUAUAUUAAUUGCUCAGCUUAUACUAACUAUAACCAGCACCAUCCAAGCAUGGGAUCAGGGACACAAGUAGUACAUGACUGACCUCAUCAACUUUAUCUUGAGCAAAGGUUUAAUUACUCACCAUUAGAAAAAGGGACAAAGUUAGUGUCCUGGGUGUUGACCUUGGGUACCAGCAUCAAGUCCUAAGCUUUCUUUACUGAAGAAGAAAGAGGCAUUUGACCCUGGGACCAUGUAAGCUGUUUGCUACAUAAUAAGCAAUUGUGAGGAAACAUGCUCAUUAUUGCUCUGACAUACGAGCUCCAAGCAUCUCUGAGAACUGUCCAAACCAACAAAAGGAAACUAAAGUGCCUCUGUAAAGCACUAUCUGAAUCACAUUCAAAUCAAUAAUUGUAUUACAUUGAUGACGACUGGCAAAUACGAGGUUACUAAAGGUGUUUGGUACGCAGUUUUGUUUGCAUCAAAGUCUGUUAAAUUUAGUUCAUAAUCUGUCUAACUUAAGCAGUGAACUCAAUGCUAAAGUGCCUCAUGCCUCACUCCAACGGCUGCAUUUUUCUGCUCUUUUCUCGUGAAAUUUGAUAUUCGUUGGUAGAAGUAUGAAAUAUCAGGUAUGAUGGGAUAUCUUGCAGUGAGAUUAAAGUUUAGAUAUCUAUUGCAUGGAUUGAAGAUUGCACUUCAGAUAAUAAUACUUUAGUAGUUCCUUGCCCUUUUGCAUUUUGAUCAAAAUUAUGCUGAAGUUUUAUAGUGAGGAUGAAAUGCUGAAAGAUAAGCAAUUUAUUUAUGACAUGUUAAAGCCAUUGGUUACUGAUAUAUAUGAUAUUAUGAUAAAACUGGAUCAAGACGUGGUCAAUAGCGUCUGGGUGGUGGUAUGGUUACAGUUAACGUUUCAUUCUACAGAGCGUCGUUCUUUGAGGUGAGUGGUUAUCGAUCUUCCUUUUCUUUAGAUUCCAUAUCUAACUCCUUUUCUUCUGUUUUUAGUUUUGCAGAAUGUAUUAUUUUUUCCCCAUUACUAUUUUGUGUUCAUCGGAAAUGGUACCGUCUAGUUAUGAUUAUUUAAUAGACCUAUAACUGUGGUUUAAUUGUUUUCAAUUUGCAAUUUGGGUUCUUAACUUGUUGGUAAAUUUGUCUAAUUGUGUUUUGCGAGAAGCCUAAGAUUGGAUUGUAGUUGAGGGAGGACUGUGCUGGUCGUCUGAGGUGACCUCAUACAUGACGAUAAUAGAAAUGUCUCUUGGCUGGAGGUUGAUGAAACUCUUAUUCUUGGGUAUGUUACUUGAUUCAAUUGAGAUUCAAAUGUGGUCUUUUAUGGAAAAUAAGUUGUCCCAGUUCUUUUAUGUUAUAUUUAGUUCCUCUACCAUCGUGAUAUGUUUUAGUUUAACACAGUUUCCAAAGAAAUUUAUUUUGUAAGGCACUUGAUAGGAAAUGCCUUAGGUGUUGAAGUGGAUUUCUUAUCUUUAUCAUCAGGUCGAAAGUGUGGAAUAUGUAUGUACUUUCAUGAUAAUGUUGGGUGCAAUAUCAUGAAUACAAAUAGCUAUCUGUAUCUUGAUGGUACAUGUAGGAAAUUGAAGCUUGGAAGUAUUCUACCUGGUGAUUAACAAGAUUGUUAUGUAAUGUGAGUGAAGUAGUUGCAGCUAUGCUACAAACGUAGUUUUUGAAAUGUCUUUGUUUGGUACUUAAUUAUGUGAAUUUAAUUAGUCUUCCUGAUUAUCAUAAAUGAUUUUAUUUCCCUCUUGCAUUUUUGGUUCAUAGUCAAAUGCUGCCUAGAUCCCAAAGAAAUAUAAGGAGUUGGUAGAAUUAUAAAGGAAUGCUUGGAACUACUAUCAUUUUACCAAUAUUUUCCCUCCAUUUCACAAUUCUCUCAGUUUUAGAAUCUCUCUUUUCAUAAUAAUUUGAAUAUUUGCUUAGCAUAAUUUUUUGCAAGUGUUUAUAAACAGAUGAAAAUGAGUAAUAGAUAGUACUUAUAGGUCUUACGAAAUAUGCACUAUUAUACCCAUGUAGUAUGUUUGUAGAACUCCACUUAGAGUUCCCACGCAGGUUAUGUAGGGUUGAUUGCCAACUAGUUUUAGUAGUUGAGAUAUCAACAAAGAAAGAAAAUGUAGAGGGGAAAGAUUUAACAUAGUUUAUGGAUAGUGGCUGUAAUUCAAUGGUUUGGUGUUAGGAUGCAUGUUGCAUUGUUGCUUCAUUCUGUGUCGGUUUUGGUCUAGGUAGUAGACUCUUUUAACUCCGCCUAUGUUGCAUGUUCGCUUGAUACAGCCGGUCCCAAGCGCGAUAAAAGAGGAGGGAUGAGCUGACAUAUGGUGCAGUUGCCAAAUGGAUAAAGAUCUCGUGUGGAGUAUUUUUAAUGUUCUCACGUCUCGAUUUAGUCAUUUCGAGUAUGUGAUUGAUUCUGCAAUUAAUAGUUUUCUUAUACUCAUCUCCUUUUUUGAUUGCACAUAUUUUCUCAAUGAUCGGAUUGGUUAUAUGGUUAUAUCGUUUGGAUUCAUGGAAAGAUUGAUCAUUUAUUCAAAAGUUGUAUGAUAACUUGGAUUCAUACUUUUUGUAGUUUAUUAAUUUUUGCAUAUUUUGACAUGGUAAGAAGAA
rnacentral:lncRNA from 1 species